rnacentral:rRNA from 1 species
CUGACACAGGUGCUGCAUGGCUGUCGUCAGCUCGUGUCGUGAGAUGUGGUAAGUCCCGCAACGAGCGCAACCCUGCAUUCAGUUGCCAUCGGUAAGGCCGGGCACUCUGGAUGGACUGCCGGCGACAAGCCGGAGGAAGUGGGGACGACGUCAAGUCAUCAUGGCCCUUAUGUCCAGGGCGACACACGUGCUACAAUGGCCGGCACAACGGGAAGCGAAGGGGCGACCCUGAGCGGAUCCCACAAAAGCCGGUCUCAGUUCGGAUUGCAGUCUGCAACUCGACUGCAUGAAGUUGGAAUCGCUAGUAAUCGUGGAUCAGCCAAGCCGCGGUGAAUACGUUCCCGGGCCUU